ACUCAAAUGAAUUGACGGGGGUCCGCACAAGCGGUGGAACAUGUGGUUUAAUUCGACACUACGCGAGGAACCUUACCUGGGCUUGACAUAUAACUGCUACUGGCAGAAACGUCGGGUUUUUGGGAAACCGAAACGGUUAUACAGGUGCUGCAUGGCUGUCGUCAGCUCGUGUCGUGAGAUGUUGGGUUAAGUCCUUUAACGAGCGCAACCCCUGCUGUUAGUAGCGAUUCGCAAGAAGCACUCUAGCAGGACUGCCUGGGAAACCAGGAGGAAGGUGGGGAUGACGUCAAGUCCUCAUGGCCCUUAUGUCCAGGGCGACACACGUGUUACAAUGGCAGGUACAAAGGGAAGCAAACCCGCGAGGGGGAGCAAAGCUCAGAAAACUUGUCUCAGUUCAGAUUGAAGUCUGCAACCCGACUUCAUGAAGUUGAAAUCGCUAGUAAUCGCAUAUCAGAAUGAUGCGGUGAAUACGUUCUCGGACCUUGCACACACCGCCCGU
rnacentral:rRNA from 1 species